rnacentral:tRNA from 1 species
GGCGGGCGUAGCUCAGUUGGUUAGAGCGCUGGAUUGUGGCUCCGGAGGUCGUGGGUUCGAAACCCAUCGCUCGCCCCAA